rnacentral:rRNA from 1 species
UGAACGCUGGCGGCAGGCCUAACACAUGCAAGUCGAGCGGUAUCACAAGAGAGCUUGCUCUCUGGGUGACGAGCGGCGGACGGGUGAGUAAUGUCUGGGAAACUGCCUGAUGGAGGGGGAUAACUACUGGAAACGGUAGCUAAUACCGCAUGACGUCUUCGGACCAAAGUGGGGGACCUUCGGGCCUCACGCCAUCAGAUGUGCCCAGAUGGGAUUAGCUAGUAGGUGGGGUAAUGGCUCACCUAGGCGACGAUCUCUAGCUGGUCUGAGAGGAUGACCAGCCACACUGGAACUGAGACACGGUCCAGACUCCUACGGGAGGCAGCAGUGGGGAAUAUUGCACAAUGGGCGCAAGCCUGAUGCAGCCAUGCCGCGUGUAUGAAGAAGGCCUUCGGGUUGUAAAGUACUUUCAGCGAGGAGGAAGGCAUUAAGGUUAAUAACCUUGGUGAUUGACGUUACUCGCAGAAGAAGCACCGGCUAACUCCGUGCCAGCAGCCGCGGUAAUACGGAGGGUGCAAGCGUUAAUCGGAAUUACUGGGCGUAAAGCGCACGCAGGCGGUUGAUUAAGUCAGAUGUGAAAUCCCCGAGCUUAACUUGGGAACUGCAUUUGAAACUGGUCAGCUAGAGUCUUGUAGAGGGGGGUAGAAUUCCAGGUGUAGCGGUGAAAAUGCGUAGAGAUCUGGAGGAAUACCGGUGGCGAAGGCGGCCCCCCUGGACAAAGACUGACGCUCAGGUGCGAAAGCGUGGGGAGCAAACAGGAUUAGAUACCCUGGUAGUCCACGCUGUAAACGAUAUCGACUUGGAGGUUGUGCCCUUGAGGCGUGGCUUCCGGAGCUAACGCGUUAAGUCGACCGCCUGGGGAGUACGGCCGCAAGGUUAAAACUCAAAUGAAUUGACGGGGGCCCGCACAAGCGGUGGAGCAUGUGGUUUAAUUCGAUGCAACGCGAAGAACCUUACCUACUCUUGACAUCCAGAGAAUUUGCUAGAGAUAGCUUAGUGCCUUCGGGAACUCUGAGACAGGUGCUGCAUGGCUGUCGUCAGCUCGUGUUGUGAAAUGUUGGGUUAAGUCCCGCAACGAGCGCAACCCUUAUCCUUUGUUGCCAGCACGUAAUGGUGGGAACUCAAAGGAGACUGCCGGUGAUAAACCGGAGGAAGGUGGGGAUGACGUCAAGUCAUCAUGGCCCUUACGAGUAGGGCUACACACGUGCUACAAUGGCAUAUACAAAGAGAAGCGAACUCGCGAGAGCAAGCGGACCUCAUAAAGUAUGUCGUAGUCCGGAUUGGAGUCUGCAACUCGACUCCAUGAAGUCGGAAUCGCUAGUAAUCGUAGAUCAGAAUGCUACGGUGAAUACGUUCCCGGGCCUUGUACACACCGCCCGCCACACCAUGGGAGUGGGUUGCAAAAGAAGUAGGUAGCUUAACCUUCGGGAGGGCGCCUACCAC